GACGAAUGCUGGCGGCGUGCUUAACACAUGCAAGUCGAACGGAAAGGCCCUGCUUGCAGGGUACUCGAGUGGCGAACGGGUGAGUAACACGUGGGUGAUCUGCCCUGCACUUCGGGAUAAGCCUGGGAAACUGAGUCUAAUACCGGAUAGGAGCCAUUUUUAGUGCGAUGGUUGGAAAGUUUUUUCGGUGUAGGAUGAGCUCGCGGCCUAUCAGCUUGUUGGUGGGGUAAUGGCCUACCAAGGCGGCGACGGGUAGCCGGCCUGAGAGGGUGGACGGCCACAUUGGGACUGAGAUACGGCCCAGACUCCUACGGGAGGCAGCAGUGGGGAAUAUUGCACAAUGGGCGCAAGCCUGAUGCAGCGACGCCGCGUGGGGGAUGACGGCCUUCGGGUUGUAAACUCCUUUCGCUAGGGACGAAGCUUUUGUGACGGUACCUAGAUAAGAAGCACCGGCUAACUACGUG
rnacentral:rRNA from 1 species